UACGUAGGGAGCAAGCGUUGUUCGGAUUUACUGGGCGUAAAGGGCGCGUAGGCGGCAAUUCAAGUCAUCUGUGAAAUCUCCGGGCUUAACUCGGAACGGUCAGAUGAUACUGUUUUGCUAGAGUGCAGAAGGGGCAAUCGGAAUUCUUGGUGUAGCGGUGAAAUGCGUAGAUAUCAAGAGGAACACCUGAGGUGAAGACGGGUUGCUGGGCCUGACACCUGACGCUGAGGCGCGAAAGCCAGGGGAGCAAACGGG
rnacentral:rRNA from 1 species